GGGUUCAUGGCUUCCCUCUCCAUACCAGGUUGGUUGUUGAUAGUUUCGAUUUUGGUUUUGGCUUGCUGAUCCUGGAGCUUUAAAGGUAGGGGAAAUACAUUANNNNNNNNNNAGAGAUGAGGUGAGGCUCUGUUAGAGCUACGAUUAAGUUCAUAGUAUGUUGUUCUAUUCUGGGUUUAGAGGCAUCCAUUGCUGUGAUGGGAGGGGUAUAUGCAUGUUGAUGU
rnacentral:misc_RNA from 1 species